rnacentral:rRNA from 1 species
UACGGGUGGGGCAAGCGUUGUUCGGAAUUACUGGGCGUAAAGGGUGCGUAGGCGGUCUGUUAAGUUGGAUGUGAAAACUCUGGGCUCAACCCAGAGCCUGCAUCCAAAACUGGCAGGCUAGAGUUCUGGAGGGGGUAGCGGAAUUCCUGGUGUAGCGGUGAAAUGCGUAGAUAUCGUUUGGAACGCCAAUGGUGAAAACAGGUUGCUGGGAGUGUGCUGACGCUGAGACACGAAAGCCAGGGGAGCAAACGGG